AUUGAACGCUGGCGGCAUGCCUUACACAUGCAAGUCGAACGGUAACGCGGGGCAACCUGGCGACGAGUGGCGAACGGGUGAGUAAUGCAUCGGAACGUGCCCAGUAGUGGGGGAUAACUGCUCGAAAGAGCAGCUAAUACCGCAUACGACCUGAGGGUGAAAGCGGGGGAUCGCAAGACCUCGCGCUAUUGGAGCGGCCGAUGUCAGAUUAGGUAGUUGGUGGGGUAAAGGCCCACCAAGCCAACGAUCUGUAGCUGGUCUGAGAGGACGACCAGCCACACUGGGACUGAGACACGGCCCAGACUCCUACGGGAGGCAGCAGUGGGGAAUUUUGGACAAUGGACGCAAGUCUGAUCCAGCCAUGCCGCGUGCGGGAAGAAGGCCUUCGGGUUGUAAACCGCUUUUGUCAGGGAAGAAACGCUCUGGGUUAAUACCUCGGGGUAAUGACGGUACCUGAAGAAUAAGCACCGGCUAACUACGUGCCAGCAGCCGCGGUAA
rnacentral:rRNA from 1 species